rnacentral:rRNA from 1 species
UACGUAGGGUGCAAGCGUUGUCCGGAAUUAUUGGGCGUAAAGAGCUCGUAGGCGGUGUGUCACGUCGAUCGUGAAAACUUGGGGCUUAACUCUGAGCUUGCGGUCGAUACGGGCAUCACUGGAGUUCGGCAGGGGAGACUGGAAUUCCUGGUGUAGCGGUGAAAUGCGCAGAUAUCAGGAGGAACACCAAUGGCGAAGGCAGCUCGCUGGGACGGUACUGACGCUGAGACGCGAAAGCGUGGGGAGCAAACAGG